GGGUGAUUAGCUCAGUUGGGAGAGCAUCGCCCUUACAAGGCGAGGGUCACUGGUUCGAGCCCAGUAUCACCCA
rfam:Thiomicrospira crunogena XCL-2, complete genome.